UGGGGAAUAUUGCACAAUGGGCGCAAGCCUGAUGCAGCCAUGCCGCGUGUGUGAAGAAGGCCUUCGGGUUGUAAAGCACUUUCAGCGAGGAGGAAGGUGGUGAGCUUAAUACGCUCAUCAAUUGACGUUACUCGCAGAAGAAGCACCGGCUAACUCCGUGCCAGCAGCCGCGGUAAUACGGAGGGUGCAAGCGUUAAUCGGAAUUACUGGGCGUAAAGCGCACGCAGGCGGUUUGUUAAGUCAGAUGUGAAAUCCCCGGGCUCAACCUGGGAACUGCAUUUGAAACUGGCAAGCUAGAGUCUCGUAGAGGGGGGUAGAAUUCCAGGUGUAGCGGUGAAAUGCGUAGAGAUCUGGAGGAAUACCGGUGGCGAAGGCGGCCCCCUGGACGAAGACUGACGCUCAGGUGCGAAAGCGUGGGGCAGCAAACAGGAUUAGAUACCCUGGUAGUCCACGCUGUAAAACGAUGUCGAUUUUGGAGGUUGUGCCCUUGAGGCGUGGNUUCCGGAGCUAACGNGUUAAAUCGACCG
rnacentral:rRNA from 1 species